GACGAACGCGGGCGGCGUGCCUAAUACAUGCAAGUAGAACGCUGAAGGAGGAGCUUGCUUCUCUGGAUGAGUUGCGAACGGGUGAGUAACGCGUAGGUAACCUGCCUGGUAGCGGGGGAUAACUAUUGGAAACGAUAGCUAAUACCGCAUAAGAGUAGAUGUUGCAUGACAUUUGCUUAAAAGGUGCAAUUGCAUCACUACCAGAUGGACCUGCGUUGUAUUAGCUAGUUGGUGGGGUAACGGCUCACCAAGGCGACGAUACAUAGCCGACCUGAGAGGGUGAUCGGCCACACUGGGACUGAGACACGGCCCAGACUCCUACGGGAGGCAGCAGUAGGGAAUCUUCGGCAAUGGACGGAAGUCUGACCGAGCAACGCCGCGUGAGUGGAGAAGGUUUUCGGAUCGUAAAGCUCUGUUGUAAGAGAAGAACGAGUGUGAGAGUGGAAAGUUCACACUGUGACGGUAUCUUACCAGAAAGGGACGGCUAACUACGUGCCAGCAGCCGCGGUAAUACGUAGGUGGCAAGCGUUAUCCGGAUUUAUUGGGCGUAAAGAGAGUGCAGGCGGUUUUCUAAGUCUGAUGUGAAAGCCUUCGGCUUAACCGGAGAAGUGCAUCGGAAACUGGAUAACUUGAGUGCAGAAGAGGGUAGUGGAACUCCAUGUGUAGCGGUGGAAUGCGUGGAUAUAUGGAAGAACACCAGUGGCGAAGGCGGCUACCUGGUCUGCAACUGACGCUGAGACUCGAAAGCAUGGGUAGCGAACGGG
rnacentral:rRNA from 1 species